AAAACUUCAACCGUGAUAGGAUACUAGAUAAUUUACAAUCACAAAAGACUUCAUGUUAACUCCCUAAACUCUCUCAUUCGUUUCUCGACUACCAACUUCUGUAAAAAAAAUAAACUACAAGGUUGAGCUAAAACUCAGUGAGAUUUGCCGAACAAGUAACAUUCAAUAAACACUUAAAUCAGUACAAUUAAGUAAGUAGUGCAUAUUUCACUGUAUAAUCACUUUAAAAAGGAUACAAACUCCUCCUGGGAGUCAUUUCAAUAUCACUGUACAUUCAUUUCAGUGUCGCGAUACAUUUAUUUCAAUAUCAUUGCACACUUCGCCAAUUCACCCCCUUAUGUCCUCCAAAACAAUAAACAAUCUCCCAUAUACAAUAAUCAGUGCAAUAAUCUCUCAACUUCAGGGUAAUACUCGAGUAUACCGAAACAGUUACCCAAAUCGUCCGUCCUAUCCGACCAAACCCUUUGCUGGCUCGAAUAGUCCGUUGAACAGAGAGUUUUGGGGUCCAGUUCAGUCGAUGUGGUAAAGUACACAUACAGCUUACAUUCAUGCACACUUACAGUAAUAUUUGGUCAAUUAUCAACCUUCAAACUCAAAUAAGCCGAGGGCCUAAAAAUUACACCCCCGACUUAGAAGGCGAGAGAUAAUUGGGAUACACUUUACAAUGAAUCACUAGCAAUAUUUCAUAAUAAGCACAUUUAUCGCAUAAUUUCACUUACAUAUAUAUAAGCAGUUAAAUACACAAAUUCGAAACACUCACAAAAUACCCAAAUAGAUUACUCUCGAGUCUCGAAUUUGUUUCCUGACUCACAGCUACUUCCUGAGAAAAGUUCAUAAUUCCAAAGUAAAUAUAUAAUUUAUAGAUGUUCACCUAUUAUUUAUUAUCCUAUUAUUUAAAUUAUUAGAAUCAAGUUUGUCUUUAAAAUAUAAAAUAUAAUUUAUUCAAUAUUUAUUCUACAUUUCAUUUUGAGACUUAUUGACUUUAUCAUUUUAAACCAAGAAAUAUACGUAUUUUCCAAGUUUAUAAUUUAUAAAAUAUUUAAAUUAGGAUUAAACUAUUUUCUACUCACGAUUCUAAGAUUAAAGUUUAGGAAUACUCCAUUGGUUCCCUUUUAAAUUAAUUAAACUCUAGGUUGUUUGUAAAUUAAAUUUUGUUUCACGAUACCAGCCACCCUUAGGUUCUAGGGUCUUUAAAAUGUUCUUGAAAACAAGAUUAAGUGAUUAGCAACCGUCUUAUGUAUCUAAUUGUAAUAAGUUGCCUUAAGGUUUCCAAAUAUUACAGGAGUUCACUUCAUUACUAUAUUAGCUGUUAAAUCAAGUUCUAGCAAUAUACUUCAUAAUUUUCAUCAAUAUUUCAUCUUCUACUUGGUAAAAUAUUAAUCACUCAGUAUUUACCCUGUCCCUGCUGAAGUUGAAUCAAAUAACGUGUACUAUUUACGCAUAAACCCAACAAAACAACAUUAAGUUCCAUUUUUAGAUAAAUGUAACUUCCUAGCAAUAUACAUAGUCCAGCAUUCAUUGUUUCCCUUAAAUCCUUCCUUUUAAUCUCAUGUCCCAACUAGACAAGUUAAUUACAUUUAUUAAGCUACAAAGUAGCCUUAUACAGAACGUGGAAAGUUUUGCAGCUAACUUAGAGGAAAAGACUGAUCAACUCUUCCUUCUUUCUCUCGGCCAUAAGGUAAUUCAGCAGCACAUUUCAUAGUUUUCCUCUCAUUUGCCUUAGUUUAACUCUACUCACAGAACUAGUCAUAGUCACUAAAUCACAGAGCAACCUUAGUUCUACCUGUGGAAGUUCACAGAGCCAGAAAUUAAAAGAAAGGCUGCUCUAAAAGCUUAUUUCCUUCCCCCUUUUUUUUUAUCAUAGCAGAUUGUACCAGCUUCCUUUUAUCAAAUUUUAGUUAAGCUUCCUGAAGUUUUCAUAUUUCCAAGGCACCUAUCUUUUAAGGUAAAGGAUUAACAUGUCUUCCAUGUAUUCAUUAAUAAGGAUUUCAGAAUCAGUAACAACAGGUCAUGUAACCUGCUUAAUUCCCUCAGACAACCAACCUGCAAUCAGUCGAAUGCACUUGUCCUACUAUGUUCACUUUAGUUUCUACUUGUUUUGGUCUUGCUUGUUGAAGUUUACGGUCUGCAUGACAUUUUACAUUUACUACACAGGUUUAAGAGCUAAAGUUUAUAGAGGACAACCAAAGUGUCCUUCUUUUCUCUUUCGGUUGCAGUCACUAAAUUUCCAGCAAAAUCGUAGUCUAUCAGUUGACAUUUUCUUACCUUUUCCUCCUCAAUUUUUGGUCUCAAUCACUCAUGCAGAAGAUACUUAAUUUGCUGCAGGUUAUCCUAAGCUAGACAGGGCAGUUCCUGACCAGAAUUCAGAGAAAAAUUGAAUAAAAUUACAAGGCUGCGCAAGACUGCUACAUCUGGUGCAUAGCAACCUGCACCAUAUUACUUUCAUGCCCACAGUUUCAAUUCUUUCAAGCUCUUACGGUUAAUCCUUCUUUUAUUACUUAAAGUGGACAUAAUUCAUGCAUUCCUAGCUGUAGUUUCCAUUUUUUUCUGAUAACUAGUCACACAAUUAGUACCUAUUUCACGGUUAUAAGUCAGAACUUCCUCUCAGCAAACUAUCGUUUCUAAACAAAAUUUCUCCGGCAACAAAACUUAGUUUUUCUUGGUUAGAUUCAGCAUAGACAACAUUCAAAUUCAAAUAUACCAGAUGAUUAAGAAGUUAUAUACAAAUUUUUCAUCAUUAAUGGACUAAAAUCCAAACAUCAGUUUUCAGUUUCUUCCAAAUCUGUCCAACAGUUUUAUCUCCUUCAAACAAAAUUUCACCUUAGCUAAAAGUCCAUUUCUUUACUAAAUUCUCAUGCAGCUCACAUGUUAAUCUAUUUAUACGGAAUGGACAGAAGAUUAUUGCAAGUUCUUACCUUUUCUCCUAAAGUUUGAUAUUGCAGGCUGUUGAAAUUUUUUGGUCCUGAUUCCUUAAGUCUUAACUCCAAUACCCCCUGCUUCCUUGCGACACCUUCCUUAUCUUUGGUUGUUUGGUGUUGAAGCUAGUUAUGCUCCUGCUCUCACUUUCUCUGUUUCGCUCUUUUUUCUCACUCCCUCUAUUUUUUCUCGAUGUUAGCUUGGUAAGGAGAGGAGCUGAAAUUUUGUUUUGCUCUCUGCCACCGCCCAAGUUUUUGCAGUUGGUUUUCUCUUUUUCCCCACUCGGUC
rnacentral:lncRNA from 1 species